CUAAUGCAAGGGUCUAAAGCACAUAAAAUUGGAACAAUACAGAGAAGAUUAGGCCCCUGCACAAGGAUGACACACAAAUUUGUGAAGUGUUCCAUAUUAAA
rnacentral:snRNA from 1 species